AUUGAACGCUGGCGGAAUGCUUUACACAUGCAAGUCGAACGGCAGCACGGGUGCUUGCACCUGGUGGCGAGUGGCGAACGGGUGAGUAAUGUAUCGGAACGUAUCCAAUAAUGGGGGAUAACUAACCGAAAGGUUAGCUAAUACCGCAUACGCCCUACGGGGGAAAGCAGGGGAUCUUCGGACCUUGCGUUAAUGGAGCGGCCGAAAUCUGAUUAGCGAGUUAGUGAGGUAAAGGCUCACCAAGGCGUCGAUCAGUAGCUGGUCUGAGAGGACGGCCAGCCACACUGGAACUGAGACACGGUCCAGACUCCUACGGGAGGCAGCAGUGGGGCAUUUUGGACAAUGGGGGCAACCCUGAUCCAGCCAUUCCGCGUGAGUGAAGAAGGCCUUCGGGUUGUAAAGCUCUUUCGCAAGGGAAGAAACGAUACAGUCGAAUAAACUGUGUUAAUGACGGUACCUUGAUAAGAAGCACCGGCUAACUACGUGCCAGCCGCCGCAGUAAGAC
rnacentral:rRNA from 1 species